UCGGGAAUUUUGGGCAAUGGGCGAAAGCCUGACCCAGCAACGCCGCGUGAAGGAUGAAGUAUUUCGGUAUGUAAACUUCGUAAGAAUAGGAAGAAUAAAUGACGGUACUAUUUGUAAGGUCCGGCUAACUACGUGCCAGCAGCCGCGGUAAUACGUAGGGACCAAGCGUUGUUCGGAUUUACUGGGCGUAAAGGGCGCGUAGGCGGUGUGUCAAGUCAGUUGUGAAAUCUCCGAGCUUAACUCGGAACGGUCAACUGAUACUGUCACACUAGAGUACAGAAGGGGCAAUCGGAAUUCUUGGUGUAGCGGUGAAGUGCGUAGAUAUCAAGAGGAACACCUGAGGCGAAGGCGGGUUGCUGGGCUGAUACUGACGCUGAGGCGCGAAAGCUAGGGUAGCAAACGGGAUUAGAUACCCACGUAGUCCCUGAGCGGGCUGGCAAGGCGCAU
rnacentral:rRNA from 1 species